AUAAUUCAAAUUGUAAAAUUCAACUCGUCUCGAACUCAAAAUUCGAAUUACUUAUUCUAACCAAUUUGAAUAAUUCAAUUUAAUUGAAUCAAAACAUAAUAUAAUUAACUCAAUGGUGCAUAUAAGACAAUAUGGAUUAUGCAUGUGAAAAUUGAAGCAAUAAUAAAAUGAUUUAAGCAAUGCUGAAUUGGCUAUAAAAAAAAAAGUCGGUUAGUAGGUAAAACCCUUUAAUUGGUGCUUCAAAGUUGAAAGUAAUAGUAAUAGUAGGCAAUGGUUUAUUAAUGAGUAGGCCAUUGGUUCGGUUUCUUUUUUAAAUAAUAUUAUGAGAAGACUUUCUAUAUAAGGAGAGACAGCUUCAUCCUUUAUAACAAAUCUCACCCACUGAAAAGAAAAGGAGCUUGGUAGAUAAAUUUUUUACAUUUAAUCCUAUGUAGAUAUAUUACGGUCCUCCUAAAAAUAUAAGUAGGCCUUUCAAGGUUUAAGAUUUUUACAAUUUCUC
rnacentral:lncRNA from 1 species